GCAGCAGGCGCGCAAAUUACCCACUCCCAGCUCGGGGAGGUAGUGACGAAAAAUAACGAUACGGGACUCAUCCGAGGCCCCGUAAUCGGAAUGAGAACACUUUAAAUCCUUUAACGAGGAUCAAUUGGAGGGCAAGUCUGGUGCCAGCAGCCGCGGUAAUUCCAGCUCCAAUAGCGUAUAUUAAAGUUGUUGCGGUUAAAAAGCUCGUAGUCGAAUUUGUGUCUCGCGCCGUCCGGUUCAUCGUUCGCGGUGUCAACUGGCGUGUCGCGAGACGUCCUGCCGGCGGGUCGUUCGCAAGAGCGGCCCAACUGACCCCGCCGCGGUGCUCUUCAUUGAGUGUCGAGGUGGGCCGGCACGUUUACUUUGAACAAACUAAGGUGCUUAAAGCAGGCUGAAAUUUUGCCAGAAUAUUUUAUGCAUGGAAUAAUGAAACAGGACCUCGAUUCUAUUUUGUUGGUUUUCUGAACCUCGAGGUAAUGAUUAACAGGAACGGAUGGGGGCAUUCGUAUUGCGACGUUAGAGGUGAAAUUCUUGGAUCGUCGCAAGACGGACAGAAGCGAAAGCAUUUGCCAAAAACGUUUUCAUUGAUCAAGAACGAAAGUUAGAGGUUCGAAGGCGAUCAGAUACCGCCCUAGUUCUAACCAUAAACUAUGCCAGCUAGCGAUCCGCCGAUGUUCCUCCGAUGACUCGGCGGGCAGCUUCCGGGAAACCAAAGCUUUUGGGUUCCGGGGGAAGUAUGGUUGCAAAGCUGAAACUUAAAGGAAUUGACGGAAGGGCACCACCAGGAGUGGAGCCUGCGGCUUAAUUUGACUCAACACGGGAAACCUCACCAGGCCCGGACACCGGAAGGAUUGACAGAUUGAGAGCUCUUUCUUGAUUCGGUGGGUGGUGGUGCAUGGCCGU
rnacentral:rRNA from 1 species